AUCACUGUGAUGGAUGAGAGCCACAGGAAAAGGCCAAACAAUCUGUCCAGUGAAGAUGCUGUGUGAGGCUGCUUUGAGAUGCUAACAGAGCUGCUUUACAAACCCAGGAACCAGCAGUGGGAAUCUGUGACCUGAAAACUGAUCACAGGCACGGGAUGAAAUUUCUCUGGCAUUGUGGACCUUCUUUUAAUAUCCUGAUGGAGAGAGCUCAGGGAAUUCAUC